rnacentral:rRNA from 1 species
AGAACGAACGCUGGCGGCAGGCUUAACACAUGCAAGUCGAGCGCUGUAGCAAUACAGAGCGGCAGACGGGUGAGUAACGCGUGGGAACAUACCCUUCGGUUCGGAAUAGCUCAGGGAAACUUGAAUUAAUACCGGAUACGGCCAGAAGUGAAAAUUUCUGGCGAAAGAUUUAUCGCCGAAGGAUUGGCCCGCGUUCGAUUAGCUAGUUGGUGAGGUAACGGCUCACCAAGGCGACGAUCGAUAGCUGGUCUGAGAGGAUGAUCAGCCACAUUGGGACUGAGACACGGCCCAAACUCCUACGGGAGGCAGCAGUGGGGAAUAUUGGACAAUGGGCGCAAGCCUGAUCCAGCCAUGCCGCGUGAGUGAUGACGGCCUUAGGGUUGUAAAGCUCUUUCGCUAGGGACGAUAAUGACGGUACCUAGACAAGAAGCCCCGGCUAACUUCGUGCCAGCAGCCGCGGUAAUACGAAGGGGGCUAGCGUUGUUCGGAAUUACUGGGCGUAAAGCGCGUGUAGGCGGGCUUUUAAGUCAGGGGUGAAAUGCCAAGGCUCAACCUUGGAACUGCCUUUGAUACUGGAAGUCUUGAGUCCGGGAGAGGUGAGUGGAACUGCGAGUGUAGAGGUGAAAUUCGUAGAUAUUCGCAAGAACACCAGUGGUGAAGGCGGCUCACUGGCCCGGAACUGACGCUGAGACGCGAAAGCGUGGGGAGCAAACAGGAUUAGAUACCCUGGUAGUCCACGCUGUAAACGAUGGAUGCUAGCCGUUGGGGAGCUUGCUCUUCAGUGGCGCAGCUAACGCUUUAAGCAUCCCGCCUGGGGAGUACGGUCGCAGAUUAAA